UACGGAGGAUCCAAGCGUUAUCUGGAAUCAUUGGGGUUAAAGGGUCCGCAGGCGUGAUAAUAAGUCAGUGGUGAAAGUCUGCUGCUCAACUGUAGAAUUGCCAUUGAUACUGUUAACAUUGAGUAAUUAUGAAGUGGUUAGAAUAUGUAGUGUAGCGGUGAAAUGCAUAGAUAUUACAUAGAAUACCGAUUGCGAAGGCAGAUCACUAAUAAUUCACUGACGCUGAUGGACGAAAGCGUAGGUAGCGAACAGG
rnacentral:misc_RNA from 1 species